UACGUAGGGUGCGAGCGUUGUCCGGAAUUAUUGGACGUAAAGAGCUUGUAGGUGGUUUGUCGCGUCUGCUGUGAAAAUCCGAGGCUCAACCUCGGACUUGCAGUGGGUACGGGCAGACUAGAGUGUGGUAGGGGAGACUGGAAUUCCUUGUGUAGCGGUGGAAUGCGCAGAUAUCAGGAGGAACACCGAUGGCGAAGGCAGGUCUCUGGGCCAUUACUGACACUGAGAAGCGAAAGCAUGGGGAGCGAACAGG
rnacentral:rRNA from 1 species